UACGUAGGGUGCGAGCGUUAAUCGGAAUUACUGGGCGUAAAGCGUGCGCAGGCGGUUCGUUGUGUCCGUCGUGAAAGCCCCGGGCUUAACCUGGGAACUGCGAUGGAAACUAGCGAGCUGGAGUGUGUCAGAGGGGGGUAGAAUUCCACGUGUAGCAGUGAAAUGCGUAGAGAUGUGGAGGAAUACCGAUGGCGAAGGCAGCCCCCUGGGAUAACACUGACGCUCAUGCACGAAAGCGUGGGGAGCAAACAGG
rnacentral:rRNA from 1 species